rnacentral:lncRNA from 1 species
CUUCUUCGCCACCCAAAGACUCACGCAUACACACAUUUUUCUUUCGUAUCUGCUGUCUCAGCCUCCCUCGGGCCAAUUUGGGUAAAUGCGUCCAAGAGGAAGAAAUAAAAAUGAAAAGACUGACAGUUUAAAAGCAUGUGGAGGGCUUAGAAGAUAAAGACGAGUGCAAGAAAGGGAGAGCGCGGCCGGCCGCGGUGUCUCACGCCUGUCAUCCUAGCACUUUGGGAGGCCGAAGAGAUCGGAUCACUUGAGGUCCGGAGUUCAAAUCCAGCCUGGCCAACAUGGUGAAACCCCGUCUCUACUAAAAAUACAAAAAAAUUAGCCGGACCUGGUGGCGGGCGUCUGUAAUGCCAGCUACUCGGGAGGCUGAGGCGGGAGAAUCGCUUGAACCCGGGAGGCGGAGGUUGCAGUGAGCCGAGAUCGCGCCACUGCAUUCCAGCCUGGGCAACAGACUGAGACCCUGCCUCAAAAGAAAAAAAGAAAAAAAAAAAAGGAGAGCGCGUACUGUUGCGGAAGGGGCACUGCUCGAGAAACAGAGACGAAGGGAUGAUUUUCAAGUAAUCAAGACACCGAGAAAGACAAGAUUGGGGAUGGAAGAGCAGUAAGAAUUAAUGGAGACGUCCAAGAAUUGUAGUUCGGGCGCGGUGGCUCAUGCCUGUAAUCCCAGCACUUUGGGAGGCUGAGGUUAGUGGAUCACCUGAGGUCAGGAGUUCGAGACCAGCCUGUCCAAAUGGCGAAACCCCAUCUCUACUAAAAAAUACAAAAAUUAGCCGAGCAUGGUGGCGCACGCCUGUAAUCCCAGCUACUGGGGAAGCUGAGUCAGGAGAAUAGCUUGAACCUGGGAGGUGGGAGGUGGAGGUUGCAGUUAACCGAGCCACUGCAUUUCAGGUUAGGUGACAGAGUGAGGCUAUGUCUCCAAAAAAAAAAAAAAAAAAAAAAAAAAGAAGAAGAAGAAAAGCAAAUGGGUAGUUUGUUUUGCAUGCUUCUUGCCAGGCAGAAAAGGUGCUUGAGAGGAGAAAGAAGUGGAAAACUGGAAAGGGGGGGAAUCUAAAUCAAGGACUUUAUUUUCCUUACUGUUGAGUUGUAAAUACAGUCCUCCUUUGACAUUUAUCUUCCCCUUUUUCUAUGGUUUAAAAACAGGUGAUUUGGCUGGGCAUGGUGGCUCACACCUGUAAUCCCAGCAGUUUGGGAGGCCAAGGCAGGCGGAUCACUUGAGAUUACGAGUUCAAAGACCAGCUUGGUCAACAUGGUGAAACCCUGUCUCUACUAAAAAUACAAAAAUUAGCUGGGUGUGGUGGCAGGCACCUGUAGUCCCAGCUACUCGGGAGUCUAAGGCAGGAGAAUCGCUUAAACCCAGGAGGUGGAGGUUGCAGUGAGCCGAGAUCGCACCAUUGCACUCCAGCCUGGGAGACAGAGUGAGACUCCGUCUCAAAAGCAAAACAAAACAAACAAAAAACAACGUGAUUUAUAUAUCAUGGCGUUGUAUUUAUGUAUUAUGUAGUUUUUUUUCUUUUGACACAGGGUCUCACCCUGUUGCCCAGACUGGAGUGUAGCAGAGCGAUCACGGCUUCACUGCAGCCUCAGACUCCUGGGUUGAAACAACCCUCCCACCUUCCUGAAUACCAGCUAUUGUCCCAGCUUCCUGAAUACCUGGGACAAUAGUUGGGACUAUGGGCACAACUGUCUUGGGACUAAAUUUGUAUUUUAUUUUAUUUUAUUUUUAUUUUUUAGAGACGGAGUUUCGCUCUUAUUGCCCAGGCUGGAGUGCAGUGGCGCGAUCUAGGUUUACUGCAACCUACGCCUCCCGGGUUCAAUCGAUUAUCCUGCCUCAGACUCCGGAGUCGCUGGGAUUGCAGGCAUGCACAACCACUCCUGGCUAAUUUUUUUUUUUUUUUUUUUUUUUUUUGAGACGGAAUCUUGCUCUGUUGCCCAGGCUGGAGUGCAGUGGCACCAUCUCGGCUCACUGCAGCCUCCGCCUCCCGGGUUCAACCGAUUCUCCUGCCUCACCCUCCCAAGCAGCUGGGACUACAGGCGCGUGCCAGCACGCCCAGAUAAUUUUUUUUUGUAUUUUUAGUGGAGACGGGGUUUCACCAUAUUGGCCAGGCUGGUCUCAAACUUCUGACCUCGUAAUCCACCCGCCUCAGCCUCCCAAAGUGCUGGGAUUACAAGCGUGAGCCACGGUGCCUGGCGGCUAAUUUUGUGUUUUUAGUAGAGAUGGGGUUUCUCCAUGUUGGUCAGGCUGUUUUGGAAUUCCCGACCUCAGGUGAUCGGCCCGCCUUGGCCUCCGAAAGUGCUGAGAUUACAGGCGUGAGCCACCGCGGCCAGCCUGUAUUUUAUUUUUUGUAGAAUCAGUGUUGCGCUAGGUUGCUCAGGCUGGCCUCUAACAUCUAGGCUCAAGGGAUCCUUCCUGCCUCUGCCUUCAGAGUAGCUAGAAUUACAGACACACAUCACCAUGCCCAGCUUUGUUUGCUUGUUUUGAGAUAGGAUUGGCUGGUUUUGAACUCAUGGACUCAAGCUAUCCUCCUGCCUCAGCCUUCCAAAGCGGUAGGAUUACAGGUGUGGACCACCGCUCCCAGCCUGUAUUUUAUUUUUUAUGCACUUGGUAGUGCCCCUUCAUGACACUUAACAUAAACUUUCAGCCAGGAACAGUGGUUCCCACCUGUAAUCUUUGCCCAGGUGGGAGGAUUGCUUGAGCCUACAAGUUUGAGACUAGCUUGGGCAAUAUAGUGAGACGCCAAUCUCUAUCUUUAAAAAACUAAAACAUUAGUCCGGGCGCAGUGGCUCACGCCUAUAAUUUCAGUACUUUGGAGGCCGAGGCGGGUGGAUCACCUGUGAGGUCAGGAGUUUGAGACCAGCCUGGCCAACAAGAUGAAACCCCGUCUCUACUAAAAAUACAAAAAUUAGCCAGGCGUGGUGGUGGGCAUCUGUAAUCCCAGCUACUCGGGAGGCUGAGGCAGGAGAAUCACUGGAAUCCAGGAGGUGGAAGUUGCUGUGAGCCGAGAUCGCACCAUUGCACUCUAGCCUGGGUGACAGAGCAAGACUCUGUCUCAAAAAAAAAAUUUUUUUUCUAAUAAAUUUUAAAAAAACAAAACAUUAAAUAGGCUGGGCCUGGUGGCUCAAGCCUCUAAUCUCAGCACUUUGGGAGGCUGAGAUGGAAGGAUCACUUGAGCUCAAGAACUCGAGUCCAGCCUGGACGAUGUAUCAAGACCUCAUCUCUACAAAUAAUGUUAAAAAUUAUUAGUGCAGCAUAAGUGGCAUAGGCUUGUGGUCCCAGCUACUUGUGAGGCUGAUAUGGUUUGGCUCCGUUUCCCCACACAAACAUCAUCCCAAAUUGUAACCCCCACCUGUUAAGGGAGGGUCCUGGUGGGAAGUGAUUGGAUCAUUUGGACAGUUUCCUCCAUGCUGUUCUAGUGAUAAUGAGUGAGUUCUAACAAGAUCUGAUGGUUCGGCUGGGCGCGGUGGCUCAAGCCUGUAAUCCCAGCACUUUGGGAGGCCGAGGCGGGUGGAUCAUGAGGCCAGGAGAUCGAGACCAUCCUGGCUAACACGGUGAAACCCCGUCUCUACUAAAAAUACAAAAAAUUAGCCGGGCGUGAUGGCGGGCACCUGUGGUCCCAGCUACUCGGGAGGCUGAGGCAGGAGAAUGGCGUGAACCCGGGAGGCAGAGCUUGCAUUGAGCCGAGAUCGCGCCACUGCACUCCAGCCUGGGCGACAGAGCAAGACUCCGUCUCAAAAAAAAAAAGAAAAGAAAAAAAAAAAGAUCUGAUAGUUGAAAGGUGUGUGGUGGUCUCCCCCCUGCCCUCUGCCACCUCUCCUGCUGCAAUGUAAGACGUGCCCUGCUUCCCAUUUCACCAUGAUUGUAAGUUUCCUGAGGCAUCCCCACCCAUGUGAAACUGUGAGUCAAUUAAAGCUUUUUUUUUUUUUUUCCAGAGUCUCCCUCUGUCGCCCAGGCUGGAGCGGAGUGGCGUGAUCUCGGCUCACUGCAACCUCCGCCCCCGGGUUUAAGCAAUUCUCCUGCCUCAGCCUCCAGAGGAGCUGUGAUUACACAUGCUUGCCACCACGCCCGGCUAAUUUUUGUAUUUUCAGUAGAGAUGGGGUUUCACCACGUUAGCCAGGCUGGUCUCGAACUCCUGACCUCGUGAUCAGCCCAACUCGGCCUCCCGAAUUGCUAGGAUUAUAGGCGUGAGCCACCACACCCUACCAAGCUUUUUCCUUUAUAAAUUACCCAGUCACAGGUAGUUAUUAUUUUUUUUUUUUUGAGACAGAGUCUUGCUCUGUUGCCCAGGCUGGAGUGCCAUGGUGUGAUCUCAGCUACUGCAACCUCGGCUUCCUAGAUUCAAGCCAUUCUCCUGCCUCAGCUUCCCAAGUAGCUAGGAUUACAAGCAUGCGCCACCACGCCCAGCUAAUUUUUGUAUAUUUAGUAGAGAUGGAGUUUCAUUCACCAUGUUGGCCAGAUUGGUGUUGAACUGACCUCAGGUGAUCCACCCACCUUGACCUCCCAAACUGCUGGGAUCAUAGGCAUGAGCCACUGCACUCAGCCUCACGUAGUUCUUUGUUGUUGUUGUUUUGUUGCUGUUGUUGUUUUUUCAGACGAAGUCUCACUCUUGUCCCCCAAGCUGGAGUACAAUGGCGCGAUCUCGGCUCACUGCAACCUCCGCCUCCCGGGUUCAAGCAAUUCUCCUGCCUCAGCCUCCCGAGUAGCUGGGAUUAUAGGCGCCUGCCACCAUGCCCGGCUAAUUUUUGUAUUUUAAGUAGAGACGGGGGUUUCACCAUUUUGGCCAGGCUGGUCUCGAACUCCUGACCUCAGGUGAUCCGCCCGCCUCGGCCUCCCAAAGUGCUGGGAUUACAAGUGUGAGCCACCGUGCCCGGCCGGCCUCAGGUAGUUCUUUAUAGCAGUGUGAAAAUGGAGUAAUAGAGAGCUGAGGCAGGAGGAUCACCUGAGGCCAGGAGGUGAGGCUGCAUGAGCUGUGACUGCACCACUGCACUCCAGCCUGGGUGACAAAGUGAGACCCUAUCUCAAAAAAACAAAACAAAAGACAUAUUUAUUUUAAAAAUAAAUAAAUAAACUUUGUAGGACUUUGUUUAGACAUGUUUACCAUAUGACAUAUGUGUCUUUAGAACAGCGUCCAGCAUCUUGUAGAAGGACAAUCAUUACAAAGUUCAAGCACGUUCUGCUUUAAACACACCUAUUGUGCCACACUAAAAUCUGAAUUUGUGAAUAAAUGAACUAAAACAAUCAUAUUAUAAAACUACACAGGACUUUAAAGCGUCAUGUAGGAUGUGACUUUUUUAUUACAGGCUCCCAUAAUGUAUUUAGAAAUAUGACUCAGGAUCUAUCCAUGAUAACAGUCAGUAUAGGAUAAACAAGUUAGUAAUUUAUGUUUAAUAAUGUAUUCUAUUUAUUUUAUUUUAUUUUAUUUUUUGAGCUGGAGUCUCACUCUGUUGCCCAGGCUGGAGUGCAGUGGCACGAUCUCAGCUCACUGCAAGCUCCGCCUCCCGGAUUCAAGCGAUUCUCCUGCCUCAGCCUCCCGAGUAGCUGGGACUACAGAUGGAGUUUCGCUCUUGUUGCCAGGCUGGAGUACAGUGGCCUGAUCUCGGCUCACUGCAACCUCUGCCUCCUGGGUUUAAGCAAUUCUCCUGCCUUAGCUUCCUCCUGAGUAGCUUGGAUUACAGGCAUGCGUCACCAUGCCCGGCUAAUAUUGUAUUUUAAUAGAGACGGGAUUUCACCAUGUUGGCCAGGCUGGUCUCGAAGUCCUGACCUCAAGUGAUCCGCCCGCCUCAUCCUCUCAAAGUGCUGGGGUUACAGGCAUUAGCCCUCACGCCUGGCCAAAUGCAGUCUUUUCACCACCUUUUUGGAUCACAGAAAAUGACCAUGAAGCUAUGGAAAAAAGGGAGAGUUGAAUUUAAGAUUAGCUGUCAGCCCAUCUUUCAUUAGCCAUUUCUCUAAUCCAGUCUUGAAUUUUCCUCUUUCUAGUAAUAUGGAGGGUAGCACUAUGUUCAAAGCGGCCACUGGGGAUUUAGGUAUUUUAAUAUCUGUACUAUGUUUCUAGAUAAGUAAAAUAACCAGGUGAAUUUAUCAGCCCACAGUGAACCUGGGGAACAGUUUAUUGAACUAGUGCCCUUAAGUAGAGGACAUUCUCAACAUUGCUAAGUUUAUCUCCCAUUCCCUAUAUCAUGGAAUGAGAGAAAUUUGGAGAAAAAAUUUCUAUUUCCUAAUCUCAGCUUUUUUUUUUUUUUUUUUUCCGAGACAGAGUAUCGAGCUGUCGCCCAGGCUGGAGUGCAAUGGCAUGAUCUUGGCUCACUGCAACCUCUGCCUCCCGCGUUCUAAGUGAUUCUCCUUCCUCAGCCUCCCGAAUAGCUGGGAUUAUAGGCACGCACCAUCAUGCAUGGCUAAUUUUGUAUUUUUAGUAGAGAUGGGGUUUCCCCAUGUUGGCCAGGCUGGUCUCGAACUCCUGAUCUCAGGUUAUCCACCCGCCUCAGCCUCUCCAAGUGCUGGGAUUACAAGUGUGAGCCACCGCACCCCGCCCUAAUCUCAGCCUUUUUAUAUCUUCUUGGUAGGCCCACUUUUUGGCAUCCCCUAACAAGAAGUCCUCAGAGAUUUUUACUACUCAACAUGUGUGCGUCCCACUCAGAUGUAUUGUGUUCUUUCUGUUCACCCUCUACUUCCCAUUCCAUUUCUUCCUCUGACUUAGGGUUAGAAUGGCCCAAUGAUCCUACAACUUUUUGAUGCUAUUUCAUUUGAUUCCUCUACUGUCUAAAUCACAAGUUGGCUAACUUUACUUACUGUAAGGGAUCAGAUAGCAAAUAGUUUAGGCCUUGUGGGCCAUUCAAUCUGUCAUAACUACCCACUCUGACCAUAUGUAGUGCAAAAGCAGCCCUUGACAAUAUAUAAAUGAAUGAACGUGAAUGUAUUUCAAUAAAGCUUUACUUGUGGACACUGAAAUUUGAAUUUUAUAUCAUUUUCACAAGCCACAAAAUAAUUAUUUUGAUUCCCCCCCACCCUCAAUCAUUUAAAAAUGCAAAAAUCAUUCUUAGUUUAUGUGUGGUGAUAGACAGGUGUUGGGCUUGAUUUGGACCCAGUGCCAUAGUUUCAGACCCCUGGUUUAACUGAACUGAAAGGUAAUCAGCUCUGCAAAGCCAUUAUUACUGAAGGAGACUCCCCCUUUUUUCCCUUUGACGUUUCUUCUUUGCAGACAGAACACUGAUAAGUAGCAAGAGCUUUCCUUCCCUUAUCCAGCCUCCCUGCCUGGCAUCCUCAACUUCCUUUCACCUUCUCUCUAGAGCCUAAGAAUAGAAUCUUUACUAAACUCGCGGGGGAGAAUGUCUCCCUUUUCCUACAACCCUUGAACAGCCACUUAUCGUCAGUCUCCAGAUGUCUUGCACCCAGGACACAUGCUUCCUGUUUAUGACAAGCUGCCUAAGAAGGGGCAAGAACAGGCUCCAUUUCUAGGCGUAAAAGGGUAGGAUAGACGUGGAUGGAGAAAGAGUGGCUAUCCCGGAUUCUUUUUUCUUUUCUUUUUUUUGAGGCGGAGUCUCGCUUUGUCGUCCAGUCUGCAGUGCAGUGGCGGUGCGACGUCGGCUCACUGCAACCUCCGCCUCCCGGGUUCAAGCGAUUCUCCUGCCUCAGCCUCCUGAGUAGCUGGGACUACAAGCGCGCACCACCACACCCGGCUAAUUUUUGUAUUUUUAGUAGAGAAGGCGUUUCACCAUAUUGGCCAGGCUGAUCUCGGACUCUUGACCUCGUGAUCCGCCCACCUCGAACUCCCAAAGUGGUGGGAUUACAGGCGUGAGCCACCGCGCCCGGCCCCGGAUUCUUUCUUCUUAACAUACAUUGGAUAUAUUUCUCUUAAUCUACAACAAUGUAGUAUACUAUAGUAUAGUAUGGACAACUAGUUCUGCCCCAAACUGUGGGUCCUUGAGCAAAUUACUUAGAGAUUUCUUGGUGUAAAUGAGGAUGACAAUAGCAAAUUUUAAAUAUUGUUAUGAAUUAUAAAUGAGGUAACAGAAGAAACUGACAGUUUGAUUUAUCAAGUACCUAUUUCUACCACUACAGAGACGAAUGUUUCUGUGAUGAUUUGAUUAAGCUCCUCACAUCUACUUCGAGUAUGUUUGGAAAGUCUAAAUUUAGAUCGUUAAGAAGAAUGGUGGUGGGGGUGGGGCGGAGGCUCGGUGGCUCACACCUAUAAUCCCAGCACUUUGGGAGGCUGAGGCAGGUGGAUCACCUGAGGUCGGGAGUUUGAGACCAGCCUGACCAACAUGGAGAAACCCCAUCUCUACUAAAAAUACAAAAUUAGCUGGGCGUGGUGGUGCACGCCUGUAAUCCCAGCUGCUCGGGAGGCUGAGGCAGGAGAAUCCCUUGAACCCAGGAGGUGGAGGUUGCAGUGAGCUGAGAUUGCACCAUUGCACUCCAGCCUGAGCGACAGAGCAAGGCUCUGUCUCGAGAACAACAACAAAAAAGAAAUAAAACGUAAAAAUGAAUACAUAGCCUCAUCCCAGUAGAAUUUAAAUUCUAUGCAAACAGGAAAUGGAGUUCUCCUACCACACCAUAGUAUCCUCAGAAUAUAAACUGGGUUUGGCAACAUAGUAGAUCUGUAUAAAUAAACGAACCCAGACUUAUAUCCCCUUGUGGAUUUUUCAGGCCAUUUGUCUUUCUUAUUCACUCUUGUUGUCACUACGUUAGUCUGCUGCUGUUUAUUAAUAGUAUCUAGGGGAAGAAGGCCAGAGAAUAUCAAGGUAAGGUCCACAGCCUUUAAAGGGCCACUUGUCAGGGUAUAAGAUUUCAUGGGUUAUCUCUUAAUUUUGAAUUUCAUUUUUUAAAAAUUAUAAACUUGCUUAUUUUCCAUUAGCUUAAAGCAGCCACUUACAUGUAAUUGGAAUUAAGCUGGAUUUUAAAAUUUACCUGGGGUUCGCUCACGCCUGUAAUCCUAGCACGUUGGGAGGCCAGGGUGGAUCAGUUGAGCCCAGGAGUUCGAGACCACCCUGGGCAACAUGGUGAAGCCUUGUCACUACAAAUGAUACAAACAUUAGCUGGACAUGGUGGCAUGUGCUUAUAGUCUCCGCUACUCAGGAGGCUGAGGCAGGAGGAUCACUUGGGCCCAGCAGGUCGAGGCUGCAGUGAGCUGAGAUCGUGACACUGCACUCCAGCCAGCUCCUUUUUGCAACAGAGAAAGACCCUGUCUCCAAAAAAUAAAUAAAGAAAAUAAAUAAAUCUACAUGGAAUCUAGUUUUUGAAUAUUGUGGUUGUAAUCAAAGCAACUUCCCAUGUCCGAACACUUAAACAGUUACAGGAUUAUAGGGUCAGGCCACUGAAGUCAACACUUGUUGCACACAUUUUAAAAACAGGUAGAGUAUUGCUGCAAUAAAUUUGCAUUGAAUCAUGCAAGAAGUACUCGAGAUUUUGCACUCCCAUGAGAUUGUGCACAUCCAUGCCAAACAGACCAAGAACCAAAGAGGAUGAAGGAAAACAGGACGCUGAGGGAGAUAAAGAUGUUGUCGUAUCGCUCGGUGGCAUCAACAGGAGGAUAAAUUCCAUAGGAGGAGAAGAGAAACAGAAGAACAAAGAAGGGACCAGAGUAUUUGAUCCGCUUUGAGUGAUGGAGCUUGUCGCUCCGGAGAUUCAAGAUGAUCUGCAACUCACGUCUGCACUUGCUUACGCAGCCUUUUACAAAAGCAAGACGCCAGCAGGCGGGGCUAACCUACAGGGUAGAUACAGACAGGAAGAAAUUCUUUGGUUUCUGGGCCCGCCUCAUCCAAAUAUUUCUGUAACUGCCCUAUUCAGCUGGGAGGCUAAAAAUAAGAGGUCAACAGCUUGUGUUAUUUGUAAGAAAAAUGCAUAAAUUAGGGAAGACGGGUUUUUUUUGUUUUUUUUUUUCUUUGAGACAGAGUCUCGCUCUGUCGCCCAGGCUGGAGUGCAAUGGCGCAAUCUCGGCUCACUACAAGCUCCGCCUCCCGGGUUCAUGCUAUUCUCCUGCCUCAGCCUCCCGAGUAGCUGGGACUACAGGAGCCCGUCACCAUGCCCGGCUAAUUUUUUUGUGUUUUUAGUAGAGACGGGGUUUCACCAUGUUAGCCAGGAUGGUCUCGAUCUCCUGACCUUGUGAUCCGCCCGCCUUGGCCUCCCAAAGUGCUGGGAUUACAGGCGUGAGCCACCGCGCCCGGCCGGGAAGCUGAUUUUUCACUACACAGAAAGAUUGUGUGGCACUUGUAAAUGAAGUAUGUAUAGUAGAAUAUGCAUCAGGUCAUAGAAUUACUACAAGUAUAAUAGCUAGAAAACUGUAUAGUAUGUAACAGCCACUGAAUGUUAAAAAUGUGUUAAAUGCCUGUGGUGUCAAAUGUAUGGAAAAGGAAAAUACACGAGUCUUUUUCACUUAAGAGAGCUUUGCCGCUGCUACUUCACAUCUCUUCCUCUUCAAGUUGCUAAAGGCAAAUGCUAAAAUAUUACAGUGACCCCUUAUACAAGUGAGGGUGAAGAGUUUUUGUCUCUUCAGACUAUGGCAUGUUCUGAGGAUUGUAGUGCUAUUUUGCUUAAGUACCUUAAUCAGGCACUAAUGUUACCUGCCCUUUCUCUUAACUUCCCCUUGCCUGAAAGGAAUUGGGGCCUCAGGCUUGAAAGGAGCUUGCUCUUUGUGAUUCCACCAGGAGCCGUCCCUAAAAGUGGGAGGAGAACCUCUGUUGCAAGCAGACCACACCUGCUGUUUCCACACUAAGGCUCCUCUGCAGUGGCUUCCUCCCCACUUCCUACCACAUUCAAUGCCCGGAGGCCAAUCUGGCUGUAUUCUGAGUCUUGUACUCCUUUUUGAGACUGUGAUAAGAGAGUUUGCACCUCACCGCCCCUCAAGAGUACACUAAAAUACAUUUGCAUUCACUUUCGGGGGUAUUUGCCUAGUCUAUGUUAUUUUUUCUUUCUUUUUUUGGGGGGGUGGGGGUGGCAGAUAAAGAGGGAACAGGGUUUGACUCUGCUCCCCAGGCUGGAGGGUAGUGGCUCACUGCAGCCUCAAACUCCUGGGUUCAGGGAUCCUGCCUACUCAGCCUCCGGUGUAGCUGGAACUACAGGCAUGGCACCACCACACCUGGCUCAUUUUUA